rnacentral:rRNA from 1 species
UACGGAGGAUCCGAGCGUUAUCCGGAUUUAUUGGGUUUAAAGGGUGCGCAGGCGGGAUGUUAAGUCGGCGGUGAAAUUUUGCAGCUCAACUGUAAAAGUGCCUUCGAUACUGGCUUUCUUGAGUGUGGAUGAAGUAGGCGGAAUUUGUGGUGUAGCGGUGAAAUGCAUAGAUAUCACGAGGAACUCCGAUUGCGCAGGCAGCUUACUAAACUACUACUGACGCUCAGGCACGAAGGCGUGGGGAUCAAACAGGAUUAGAUA